rnacentral:ncRNA from 21 species
UUGGGAAGUCCUCGUGUUGCACCCCC